rnacentral:rRNA from 1 species
CCGCACGCGCGCUACACUGAUAGGUGCAUCGAGCAUACAACCUGGACCGAGAGGUUUGGGUAAUCUUCGGAACGCCUAUCGUGCUGGGGAUAGAUCAUUGCAAUUAUUGAUCUUCAACGAGGAAUUCCUAGUAAACGCGAGUCAUCAGCUCGCAUUGAUUACGU